rnacentral:rRNA from 1 species
AGAGCGAACGCUGGCGGCAGGCUUAACACAUGCAAGUCGAACGGGCGCCUUCGGGCGUCAGUGGCAGACGGGUGAGUAACGCGUGGGAACGUGCCCAUCGGUUCGGAACAACUCCGGGAAACUGGAGCUAAUACCGGAUACGACCUUACGGUGAAAGAUUUAUCGCCGAUGGAUCGGCCCGCGUCUGAUUAGCUUGUUGGUGGGGUAACGGCCUACCAAGGCGACGAUCAGUAGCUGGUCUGAGAGGAUGAUCAGCCACACUGGGACUGAGACACGGCCCAGACUCCUACGGGAGGCAGCAGUGGGGAAUAUUGGACAAUGGGCGAAAGCCUGAUCCAGCCAUGCCGCGUGAGUGAUGAAGGCCUUAGGGUUGUAAAGCUCUUUCGGCGGGGACGAUAAUGACGGUACCGCAGAAGAAGCCCGGCUAACUUCGUGCCAGCAGCCGC